rnacentral:lncRNA from 1 species
UUAUGCUCAGCCAUGGUUCUGGGAUGCAGGCGAGGAUUGAUUUUUGUGCCUGUGUUUCUAUGCUUCUGUCCGCCGUGUGAAGAAAAGCACACAAGUGCGACGAGUUAUUUUUACCUCAUGUGUAUGGGUGUUUGUCUGCAUGUGGGUCUCCACCGCUUGUGUGCCCAGUGACUUUUGAGUUUUAGGCAAUGAUGAGCUGCUGUGUGGGUGCUUGGGAAUUGAACAGGGGUCCUCUGGAAUAGCAGCUAGUGGUUUUUUUUUUUGUUUUGUUUUUUUGUUGUUGUUUUUACCAUUGAGCCAUACCUGUGCCCCUUAUUUAAAGGAGGUGUAUAUGCACGCAUGAUAAUGCUGGUGUUUGGGAACCAGAGUCUGCAAGAACAACGAGCUCAACAGCUGAUUUACUGCCUCAGCCUCACGGUGGUGGUGGUGGUUAUUAUUUUAAGAACAUCUGUUUAAGUUUUUUUGUUUACCCUUUAAAACCAACAGAUUGCAUGCUCUUGGCCACUCCCUGGGGAGGAGUCACACUGGUUAUCUGACUACUCCUGUGAUCUGAGUGGAUGUUACUACCAGCUUGUUUCCCCCCACAGUGCCCUGCAUUGAAGGAGAAGCCCUGGUCACCAUGCCAGUUGAUGACUGCUGGCUGUACUUCCCAGCUUCUCGAGGUAGAACCUUUGUGCAGACUGUCUGGGUGGCACCCACUUGCCCCAACUGUUGCUGGUUUCCAGGUUUUCUCCCUCCAGUCCCCCGGCCACCACAUGUGCCCCGUGUGCUGCUGAGGGGCCCUCGUGGGGCUGUGCUUCCUGCUUCACGUCCCUCCAAGACACUCCCCUCCUCAUCCCAGACGCCCUGUCCUACUGACCCCUGUAUCUGCCCUCCACCCUCCACACCUGAUAGUAGGCAGGAAAAAAAUACGCAAUCUGAGCUGGUAAGUUCAUGGCUUUUUAGAUUUUAAAGGUAAAGCUGGAUUUUAAAAAAUCUUUUUACUGUGCUUGCUAACUUUUCUGUCAUUACCCUCAUUAGCCCAGGGCUUUAUUAUAAAGUAACAAUGUGUGUAAUGCUAAAACAGUGCUCUAACCCAGUGCAGACUGUAGCUAGCUAUAGAGAGAGUUCCGUGUGUCCUGCCUGUUUAAAAUCUCUUGCAAGGGCUGGGUACAGUACACGUAUGGGUUUGAAGUUGAACCUGGCGGCUCACACCUUUAGUUCCUGUGUUUGGGAGGCAGAGCCAGGUCUAUAUACUGGGUUCCAGGUCAGCCAAAGUUUCAUAGUAAGACACUUGUCUCAAAAACAAAAAAAAACCCUGGACCUAUAAAGUACCUUGUAGAGGCAUAGACUUCUAAGUUUAUCUGUAGAUCAAUACUGGUUGGUGAUUUUUCUGCAAUUUUAGAUUUUGCCUUUCAACUACACAAUGUAAUAAAGUCUUGAUUACUCCGCCAACUGUAUAACUGCUGUCUUAACAUUAUUGUGUUUGUUGUGUUAACCAGACUUAGCUUACGACUUAGCCCACUGAUCUGUCUUUGACAAGGUAAAGGUGAUUGCUAAAUUGUAUUGCUGACACUAUUAAAGCCACGCCGAACAGUUCCAUCUAAUAGCCUCAGGUUGUGUAACUGGGAGAAUUUCAGUAGAAGUUCUGUGUUUCUGUGAUUUAUUUUCCUCAGAGUGAGGGAAACCUGACUUAAAACCUAGUUUAAAAACUCUAGGAAGGGGGGCUGGUGAGAUGGCUCAGCAGACAAAGGUGCCUGUUACCAAGGUGAUAAACUGACUCCGCAAUUUCCCUCUGAUUUGUACAACCGUGCUAUGGCAGGUGUCCCUCCCUAUAGACAAACAGACAGAUUUAAAAAAUCAGGUAAGGGGAAAAAGUUCCUGGGUGGUCAGUAUGAAAAUAUCACAGUGAAAACCAUUAUGUAUAAUUAAUAUGGGCCUGCUAAAUACUAAAUUCUGGGAGAGAGCGUUAUCAAACUUAGGUUAGCUGUAAGUCAGUUUGGAUGGGCUGUCUGUGUAGAAUGUCUAACACUUGAGAGUGGGGAGCAGGCAUGGGAAAAGAUGCUGGGAUGCAGUUCUCUUUGAUAAUGGCCUAGAUGUGAAGCAGUAUUGGUUUGCCUUCAGCAAGCCUGGGUGUUUCUGCACACAGCUGAAGUGGGAGUCUACAUUUCCACUUUGAUUUCCUCAUGGCCUUUGAUUGCCUUGAAAGAAAGAUGGCCCAGCACUUUCGGGCAUUGCUGCUCUUCAGUUACAUUCUUUUCAUUUCUGUUGUUUUCCCUGCAGCCGAACAAAAAAGGCCAACUUCAAAAGCUGCCAACAAUGAAUGGCUCCAAAGAUCCCCCUGGGUCCUAUGACUUCGACCUGAUCAUCAUUGGAGGAGGCUCAGGAGGACUGGCAGCAGCUAAGGCAAGACUAUCUGCUGGUGACAUUAGGGUGCAGUACCCUCUCCCCAGGCAGCUCUCUGCAUCCUCUGCAUUUGUCCAUCCAGGCUCGUGUGUUUAUUCUGUUAACUUUGACAGGGGGUACAAAGACACAACUCUGUAGGUCACUUUUCCGGACUGAGGAGUUUCCUCUCCAUGUAGAAGUUCAGAGCCCAGCAAUUUAGGGCACACUUGGUGUGGAUGGCCCUCAGGCCUGCCAGCCUUGCCAGCACGACUUUUACAAAGGGGAAAGUGGUUACAGUCCUUCAAGUUUUGGCCUCCAUCAGCCAGUGACGGUGAAGUCUCCCAGUUGUCUCCGCAGUAGCACCCGGCGGGUCACUGUCUCAGUGGCAUGCUUGAAGGACACACAGCCUCUGUCCUUGCUCUCCAGUAACCUUUGCAGGUCCAGUGGCUAGUAUACCACGCUUCCUCUGUGAGAAAGAAAUAGUCUCUACAAGAAAGACAAUUUC